CAGAGGUACCUCACAUGACUCCCCAUUGCCCCCUGCCCAGCCCCAAGGCCCCUCAGCCACUUGCCCUGUUCGCCGUCUCUCCAGCUUGUUCUCCUGGCCGGCAAUCCAGGCAGCAGACACACUGCAAAGAGCUCCUUUUCUCCCGCCUCUCAGCUGAUCGGCGGGUGGGCGGGGCUUCCACGGAGGCCUCCGUGUAGGCCUCUGUGAAGCCUGAACUCCAGUAGGGCCCAAGCCAGCCAGGAAGGAGGAGGCAGCCAGAGUGGCCACCACUGUUCUCUGUAGCAGAAGACCCCUUGCUGCCAGUUUCCACCCUGGAAUUUUGCCAUGCCUCUAUGUACUCCUGUUGCUCCAUUUAGCAAAUAAUAAAUGGAUUUUUUUUAAAGGACAAAGUUGAGAGCUACUGAAGUACCACCACAUGGUCUUCAAUCAGCUCCCAAUGAUGAAGCAAUUUCACAAAUGUAACUUUGUGCUGACAAGAGAAGCUGAUUCAUCUGAUGCACUGCUGGAACACAGAUGCAUGCAAGUGGACUGUAAGGAAAUGUUUUGAAGUCAGAGAACAGAAGCCCAGAAAAAUAAACCAACAAGUGGUACAGUAGUUAAACACAUAGAUCAGCUUGGAAUGAUUCUUAAUGAACUUCUGUAAUCGACACUGCUUGGGCUUAGUGCAACUUGAUAUAAUGCAAUGCUGACAUGCUGAAUUUCCAAAGGCCUCAGACUGUGAAAUACUUCAGACUUAGACAUAGAAUUUGAAAGCUCUGAACUGACAUCAUAAAGGGCAGGCAAUGCAACAUUCCUGGGCAGCUUUAUGGGGUCGGUUUCCUUUGGAUGUGAGAAAACUAGAGAUUCAUCUUCCGAGUCCCAAACAUAUGAAGAGGGAGUAGCAAGUAGCACAGUUUCCUUCUCCAGGGUCCAGAGCAGUGGUCCCAACUGAGCAAGAAUGGAAAGAAUAAGAUAUGGCGGAAGUAGUAACUUCGGUGACCGUACAAUUUCUUGGGCAUUUAAGUUGUAGAACAAUGCCUAUGAGCUGUCCUGAAAAGAUAAGUAGAUAAGUAUCAUCUCAGCCUUGACCUAAUCUGUGUAGGUUACUUGACACAGUAAAUAAACCACACAGUAAAUAAUAAACCACACAAUAAACCACACAGAUUUCCACUAGCCCAUCUGACCACAGGCACCUGUGUUAACCAUAUGCUGUCUAACAAUGUAAAGAUUCUAUUGAGUCACCUGGAGACACUUUUUACCCACACCACAGAGUUCCAUUUUACAUGCUUGCACUAUUUUACCAAUCUGUUUUCCCUUUGCUAUACUGUAAAAUGACUCCUUGGUCCAUGUCAAAAACUAUUAAAAUGGCCUCUGAAAGCAUAGAAAUCAAAGCUUUGACCUAGAAUGAUUUAACAGCAGAUGGUGACUUUUGUUUACAUCUUGUGAAGCUGAACAGUUUUGAAACAAAGAGAAUUUAACUAGUUGAAUUAACAUGUUAUUGACAGAAAUUGUUCAUUAUCAGAAACAAAGGCAGCUCCCAAAGGGGAUAAACCAACUUUACCUUCCCCCCAGCAGAAUAAAAUAUUGUCUUAUCAUGAACAUGUUCACAGAGAAAACUAAUUUAAGGACUACUUGACUGUAGCCUCCAAAAUAAUAAAGUUAUUUCCAUUCUGGGAGUGCACAAAUGCACCACCCUUCUUUUCUAGAACAGUAUUAGACAUAACAUUCAAUGGCAAACCUAUGAAAGAGCAUACAAUGAAAGAGUUUUUUUAAAGGACCAGAAGACAGGUUACUUGAAUUUUACAAAAUGAAAUUGAACUAAAGUUUAGGGUCAUUGCUACACCACAACACUUUUAUAGUAGCUUAACUUUUAUGGUUCCUCCAUAAGAAUUCUGGGAAUCACAGUUCAAAUUUUUGAUUAAACCUGCUUAAUUAUGUAUUGGAACUAAGCCUUCAGGCAACUUGACCAUUUGAGACACAGGUGAGGGAAAUGCAAAAACCAGCAUUAAGUGUCUCUUGUGAAAACAGCCUAAUAUUUAACCAUUCUAUGCACCUGAGGACUCCCAGUACGUGCAAAAAUGUGAAAAACUGCCCCAUUCCUAAUUCGUUGCCCUUCAUAUCCAGAUCAUUUUGAAUUAUCAUUCAAUAGCAAAAUCAUGAAUGUCACCCAUAACACUCAAUCCCAUUAUCACAGGAGAUAGUAAUUAUAAAUAGACAAUACAUAUACUGAUGAAAUCUACAAAUGAUCAAUGUUGUAAGUGAUCUGUAUGAAGAAUUCACUAACCAUUAGCUUAAACUCAGAGUCAAAUAUGCUGUUGUUUGCAGGACUGAACCACUUCAGUUUUCCUGAGGAAUCAUCUCUUAGAAAACACCGCCACAUAAAAAUCGGACCCCAUUAUCAUAGAGAAAAGAACUGAAAAUCGGCCCUUGCUUUUCCAUACCAAGGUCUGGGGUCCAGAAAUGUACUUGGUAACAAAACCAGAUUAUGACACAGAUGACAGACCAUAUAAUAAAAGUUGGAGUGCAUCUGGUCACACUCAGGAAAUUAUAUAGAGCAUCCAAAGCGAAAUUGAAAUUGUGAAAUUUCAGCAAACCUUUUACCAUGACAUAGUUAAAAUGUAGUAGGAGUGUGAACAGAUAAAUUUGACAUUUCUGCAGUAUCCACAUAAUUAAAAGAAAGUGUGGGAUUGACUUGACCAGAUCAUGAACCAUUUGUGAUCUAGUCAAUUUAACUCCUAAGUGAAACCCUUUUUCCUUUUUAAACUGUGUUAUUUACAUAUAUAUAAAAUACAUACUUAUGUACCUAUACUUACAUUGAAAUUGAAUUUUGAAAUGUCAAACUUUAAAAACUUUUCAAAAUGGGAGCUGAACAUUGGUGAAUGGAAUUGUGCUAUGCUUUGUGGUCAACAGAUUUUAACUCCAGCCUGUACACAUGUCUAUUGCAGCAGUGCUGGUCCAGCUUCCGGGAGCCGAUCUCAGCUCUUCCCUGGUACUGCUUAAAUGGGUUAUGAAAACCUACAACUCUGCUUUGACCAGAGGCUGCAGCGGGACAUAAACACACAAACAUGUGUCACAUGGACAACAGCAACAUUCAAGUUCAUUAAGCAUGCUCACUCUGCUUCUGAUGAGGUAGCCUUUUGCCUAUGACAGCUCAUGCCGCAAUACAUCUUUUUAAGAUACUACAAGCUUCUCUCAUGUUUUCUGCCAAAGACUAACAAGUCUACUUUUCUAGAAGAUCAUGGACAAUUCUGAUUUUGUAAGUUCAUGUGUAUAAUUCGUAAUUGCUUUCAUUACAUUAAAGCAGAACUGUUAACAGACAAAUCUCAAUGCUGUGCAAGUUAAGAAGUUCCUAAACCACAUAUAUAACCUUGCAUUCUAUUUAACAGUAAAAUUAUGUUAUACACUACUCUAGAAUGUUGAAAUAAGUGCCAGAAAUCUCAAUUGGUACUGAAUGCAGCAGCCAGAUUGGUCUCUGGCACAACACGAAGGGACCACAUAACAUUGGUUGUAAAAGAAUUGCACUGGCUGCCAAUAUGUUUCUAGGAGAAAUACAAAGUGCUGGCUAUUACCCAUAAAGCCCUUAACAGCUUGGGUCCAGAGUAUUUAAGAGAGUGUCUCCUUUGUCAUUAACCCGUCCACCUGUUACGAUCUUCUGGAGAUGUCCAGUUAUGGUUGCCACUGGCUCAUUUGGUAGCGACCUGGGACCAGGCUUUCUCUAUGGCUGCCCCAGGGCUUAGGAAUAUUCUCCUUGCUGAAAUAAGAGCAUCUCCUUCUUUGUUUGUUUCCAGGAAGACCCUCAAGACUCACCUGUUCUCACAGGCUUUUAAUUAGAAUUAAUUUUAAUAAUUUGUUUUAAUAAUUGUUUUAUGCUACUGUUUUUCUUGUGUAUCGGUUUUAUGCUACUGUUUUUAUUGUUUCAUGUAUUUUAAUGUGUUGAUUUUAAAAUAUUGUUUUAAAUUUUGUACACCGCCUUGAUUGAUUGAUUGAUUAAGUGCCAUCAAGUCGGUGUUGUCUCUUAGCAACCACAUAGAUUCUCUCCAGGAUGAUCUGCUUGGCCUUUAAGGUCUCUCAGUGGUGCAUUCACUGAGUCCAUCCACCUUGCUGCUGGUUGUCCUCUACUUCUCUUUCCUUCAACUUUUCCCAGCAUUGUGGACUUCUCAAGGGAGCUGGGUUUUCGCAUAAUGUGUCUGAAGUAUGAUAGUUUGAGCCUGUUCAUUUUUGCCUUGAGUGACAAUUCUGGAUUGAUUUGUUCUAUGAUCCAUUUGUUUGUUUUCCUGGCUGUCCAUGGUAUCCUCAAAAGUCUUCUCCAGAACCAAAGUUCAAAAGCGUCAAUGUUUUUUCUAACUUGCUUCUCCAAAGUCUUGCUUCUAGAGAUGUACAUAUCAAGUGGUAUAAAAAUUAUGAUAA